rnacentral:tRNA from 1 species
GGAGGGAUGCGAGAGCGGCCGAAUCGGUACGAUUGGAAGUCGUAUGAGGGGCAACCCUCCGUGGGUUCAAAUCCCACUCCCUCCG